GGGACUAUAGUUUAGAAAAACAUUUACCCUGCAAGUAAAAGGCAUUGAUUAACCAAUUUGUCUCA
rnacentral:tRNA from 1 species